rnacentral:rRNA from 1 species
GAUGAACGCUGGCGGCGUGCUUAACACAUGCAAGUCGAACGAAGCACUUUAUUUGAUUUCCUUCGGGACUGAUUAUUUUGUGACUGAGUGGCGGACGGGUGAGUAACGCGUGGGUAACCUGCCUUGUACAGGGGGAUAACAGUUGGCAACGGCUGCUAAUACCGCAUAAGCGCACAGCAUCGCAUGCUGCAGUGUGAAAAACUCCGGUGGUAUAAGAUGGACCCGCGUUGGAUUAGCUAGUGGGUGAGGUAACGGCCCACCAAGGCGACGAUCCAUAGCCGACCUGGGAGGGUGACCGGCUACAUUGGGACUGAGACACGGCCCAAACUCCGACGGGAGGCAGCAGUGGGGAAUAUUGCACAAUGGGCGAAAGCCUGAUGCAGCGACGCCGCGUGAGCGAAGAAGUAUUUCGGUAUGUAAAGCUCUAUCAGCAGGGAAGAGAAUGACGGUAACUGACUAAGAAGCACCGGCUAAAUACGUG